GGCCUAUCAGCUUGUUGGCGGGGUAACGGCCCACCAAGGCGACGACGGGUAGCCGGCCUGAGAGGGCGACCGGCCACACUGGGACUGAGACACGGCCCAGACUCCUACGGGAGGCAGCAGUGGGGAAUAUUGCGCAAUGGGCGAAAGCCUGACGCAGCGACGCCGCGUGGGGGAUGAAGGCCUUCGGGUUGUAAACCCCUUUCACCAGGAGCGAAUCAAGACGGUACCUGGGGAAGAAGCGCCGGCUAACUACGUGCCAGCAGCCGCGGUAAUACGUAGGGCGCAAGCGUUGUCCGGAAUUAUUGGGCGUAAAGAGCUCGUAGGCGGCCUGUCGCGUCCGCUGUGAAAUCCUGGGGCUUAACCCCGGGCCUGCAGUGGAUACGGGCUGGCUAGAGGCAGGCAGGGGAGAACGGAAUUCCCGGUGUAGCGGUGAAAUGCGCAGAUAUCGGGAGGAACACCGGUGGCGAAGGCGGUUCUCUGGGCCUGUUCUGACGCUGAGGAGCGAAAGCGUGGGGAGCA
rnacentral:rRNA from 1 species